rnacentral:rRNA from 1 species
GGUUGAUCCUGCCAGUAGUCAUAUGCUUGUCUCAAAGAUUAAGCCAUGCAUGUCUAAGUAUAAGCUGAUUAUACUGUGAAACUGCGAAUGGCUCAUUAAAUCAGUUAUAGUUUAUUUGAUGGUACUUUACUACACGGAUAACCGUAGUAAUUCUAGAGCUAAUACGUGCGUAAAUCCUGACUUUCGGAAGGGACGUAUUUAUUAGAUAACAGGCCAACCGAGCCUAGCUCGACCCGUGGUGAAUCAUGAUAACUUCACGAAUCGCAUGGCCUUUGCGCCGGCGAUGUUUCAUU